rnacentral:lncRNA from 1 species
GUUCUUGACCCACUUCAGCAUGUACAUUGUAGAUAUAUUAAAUCUAUUUAAUUAAGGGGGGAAGAUUAGGAGAGCAUUUGUUUCAGUGAACAGAGAGCAUAGAGGUUUCAGAAUAUGAGGACAGAGUUGGUGCUUGAACUUUAAUUGUGUUUGCAUACAUUGUGAACAAAAAUGGUAAACGUACUAUUGAACAAAGAUUCAAGGAAUAACAUAGUUUAUCCUGAGUUUUUCCACUGGCAAAUCAGCAGGUAAGAAAUUCUAACAAGAAAGCUGGAGACUUCUUACAUCUGUGCCCUCAUGGUAAGAAAAUAAUACACUGUGUGUAUUGCUUUAAUAGGGGACCCACAGAAUAAGAAGAGAUGAUUCAUUUUCCUACCACAAAGGAUCACAAAUGUAACUUUUAGUGAACAUGUUCAACUAUUUCGUCAAUUUACUGGAAAAAUGAUGUAAUCUUUGUUUAAGCUUAUUUCAAGGGUCAUUGUAAAUAUUAGCUAAUUGUCAUUUUUAUUUUGGCGGGGGAAAUAUUACACGAAGAUAAAGUAUUUCUAUUGUUCAUUUCAGUAUUUUGCCUGGAAUAGAGAUUUCUGAUGAUUAAUAAUAAUUAAAAAAAAUGUCUUCUUAAGUGAACUUUUAAAUUCAGCUUUUCACAAUUUUCUAAUACAAGGUUAAACUCUAUUAUUCUUUCUUCAGGUGCUUAGAUCUAUAGUUUAACGUAUCUGAAGGUGAAUUUGGCAUAAAAUCAACAUUUUACUUUUGUCAGCUCUGCAGAGUCAAUAUAUCAUAUCCCCAGAAGAGGAGGUGCUUCAAACAUCAGUAAAAAAAACUGACAGAGAAGUGCUAAUUCCAGAAUUGUUCCAGUUGUUACUGACAUGUAGCCCGGAAAGGACUGAGACUGUCAGAUGUCAAGCCAGUUUCCACUACUGACAAAUGGAAACCUUCACUGUUUGACUUGUAAAGAAGGGCAAACUGAUCAGAACACAAAAGCUGUCAAAAACCUGGAGAAUACGGAAUCAUCUCCCUGAGCAAAAAUUGGUGCUUCUCCGCUUCAAACU